CGGAAUAUAGCGCAGUCCGGUAGCGCACCUGCCUUGGGAGCAGGGGGUCGCAAGUUCGAAUCUUGCUAUUCCGACCA
rnacentral:tRNA from 1 species